rnacentral:rRNA from 1 species
UACGUAGGGUGCAAGCGUUGUCCGGAAUUAUUGGGCGUAAAGAGCUCGUAGGCGGUUCGUCGCGUCGGCUGUGAAAACCUGAGGCUCAACCUCAGGCCUGCAGUCGAUACGGGCGGACUUGAGUACUGCAGGGGAGACUGGAAUUCUCGGUGUAGCAGUGAAAUGCGUAGAUAUCGAGAGGAACACCAGUGGCGAAGGCGAGUCCCUGGACACUUCCUGACACUGAGGCACGAAAGCUAGGGGGAGCAAACAGG